GUGGCCACCAAGGGCGGCGCUCUCUGCCUCGGUGUGGUGGACGGCGGCGUGGCGUCGGAAACGUCGGUGGUGAUCGGCGGUCACAUGAUGGAGGACAACCUGCUGGAGUUUGACCUGGUGGGAUCGCGGCUGGGGUUCAGCUCCUCCCUCCUGUUCCGGCAAACGACCUGCAACAACUUUCGCCUCGGCUAGAUGUGCAACGCAUGGCAGUCGCCACUGCAGCUUAGCUUACUAUCUCAAAAAAAAAAAAGAUGCUUUGCAUUUCUUUGUGCAAUCGUGUGAAGUUGUUGGAAUAAAUUGUUCAUCCAUUACAACUAGUCAACCAGCGUAGGCAUUUGACUUGGAUCUACUUGUUCUUUACCAUAUCCUUGAUAGUGAGAGGUGGCGUUUGACUGAAACAACAAUUUGGAAUCAAUUUUGCUAUAUAUUAUCGAUAAAUUUUCUUCUAAAAUAUUGACUGAUGUAAUUAUAGUACAAUCGUAAUGUAAUUUAAUUUUGCUAUAUAUUUAUCGAUAAAUUUUCUUCUAAAAAUUUAAUAUAUAUAAUUACAGUAUAAUUGUAAUGUAAUUACACUGUAACUUGCAUGCAACUAUAAUGUAAGCAUGUAACUUUCACAUAAUUUUAAAUCGUUAGAUCUAUUCAAAUGAAGAAAAAAAGUCGCUGUGUGCACAUAUGUGUGAGGGUUCGUUCCACGACCUCCGUUUGACGGAAAUAGCAUGUUACGGAGAGACUUUUGAAAGUUACAUACAAGCUGUAUGUAAGUUACAGUGUAAUUACAUUAUAAUUGUAUUAUAAUUAUAUCUAUCAAACUUUUAAGAGAAAAUUUAUCGUAAAAUGUAUAGGUAAUCUCAAGCACUUGACCUUACUUUGUCAGCAAAUGUAAUCAACCGUCGCUGCUUGUGCAGUCUUCUCCCAUUUCAGCUCCCCUCGCUCCAGCUGAUCAGCACUGGUCCAGUUUAGAUUAGUUGGAUGAGUUGGAUACCAUCAUCUCAUCACCCAUACAACAAUGGCCACCCCUGCAAAAGGCUGUGCAGAUGGUUUGCCUGCCUGCAUGGUGGCCCGCAAUUGGUCGAGAACAAAGGUCGCAAUUCGCACAUGCCCAGACCGUCAAAUACUACCAGCAUUUUCCUUGCUAUAACAGCAGAGUUCCGUUUCCACUUCGGCGUCUCGUACAGUCGUACUCUCGCUCGGCCCGCGACUAUACAGUCUGCCCUACCAGGCUACCACCGCCAUCCAUCGCCGUUGUAUUCUGGGAUGGUGAUUGGUGCGAGAGCCGAAAUACCAAACCGCGCGCGAGGGUGCGCCCUAUAAAUAUCCUUCCUCGCCGCUGCAAUGGUUCACACCCCAUCGGAAUAUCGCAUCCUUCCUCUCAGAAGAAUGGCACGCUUUCCUCCUCCUCUCGCUUCCGGCGCUCUCCUCCUCCUGCUCUUCGUCUUGGUCUCGCCGUGCCGCUCGGCGGCAGGAGGCCGGCCGAGAGCCGUGGUGCUGCCGGUGAGCAAGGACGACGCGACGCAGCAGUACGCGACGGUGUUCCGGCAGCGGACGCCGCAGGUGCCCGUGAAGGCCGUGCUGGACCUCGCGGGCGCCACGCUCUGGGUGGACUGCGAUACCGGGUACGUGUCGUCGUCCUACGCGCGUGUCCCGUGCGGGUCCAAGCCGUGCCGCCUCACCAAGACCGGCGGCUGCUUCAACAGCUGCUUCGGCGCGCCAUCCCCGGCCUGCCUCAACGGCACCUGCAGCGGGUUCCCGGAUAACACGGUCACGCGCGUCACGGCUGGCGGCAACAUCAUCACCGACGUGCUCUCGCUGCCCACCACCUUCCGCACCGCGCCGGGGCCGUUCGCCACCGUGCCGGAGUUCUUGUUCACCUGUGGCCACACGUUCUUGACCGAGGGCCUCGCUAACGGCGCCACCGGCAUGGUGUCCCUCAGCCGCGCCCGCUUCGCGUUCCCCACGCAGCUCGCCCGAACCUUCGGCUUCUCCCGCAGGUUCGCGCUCUGUCUCCCGCCGGCCUCCGCAGCUGGCGUCGUCGUAUUUGGCGACGCGCCUUACGUGUUCCAGCCCGGCGUGGACCUCUCCAAGUCGUCGCUCAUCUACACGCCUCUGCUCGUCAACGCGGUGAGAACGGCGGGGAAGUACACAACGGGGGAGACGUCGAUCGAGUACCUCAUCGGCUUGACGGGCAUCAAGGUGAACGGCCGCGACGUGCCACUGAACGCGACGCUCUUGGCAAUCGACAAGAAUGGCGUAGGCGGCACCACGCUGAGCACGGCGUCUCCUUACACCGUGCUGGAGACCUCCAUCUACAAGGCGGUCAUCGACGCGUUCGCGGCCGAGACGGCCACGAUCCCCCGUGUGCCGGCCGUGGCACCGUUCGAGCUGUGCUACGACGGGCGCAAAGUAGGGAGCACCCGCGCGGGGCCAGCGGUGCCGACGAUUGAGCUGGUGCUGCAGAGGGAGGCCGUGUCGUGGAUCAUGUACGGGGCAAACUCGAUGGUGCCCGCCAAGGGCGGCGCGCUCUGCCUUGGCGUGGUGGACGGCGGCCCCGCGCUGUAUCCGUCAUCGGUGGUGAUCGGCGGGCACAUGAUGGAGGACAACCUGCUGGAGUUUGACCUGGAGGGGUCGCGGCUGGGUUUCAGCUCCUACCUCCCGUUGCGGCAGACGACCUGCAACAACUUUCGCCUCGGCUAGCAGAUAGCAAUACUGUGGGCAACCUGUAGUAGCCAUGGACCCAUGGUAGCUAAUACUAUCAACUAGUACCUACAUUUCUAAUUUUCCCUUUCUACUUUGUUGUUAGAAUUGCUCAUGAACCGCCAGAUGCCGUAUCCACGCAUCCACGGUUUCUGAUCGCCUAUUCGGACAAUGAUUUAAAAGUUGAUUGUUUUUUCCAAAAUAUACUAAUUCGAAGCUCGGGAUAUUACAACCGGCGCUACUACAAAACUCAUUUUCACGUACGGCUAAAAUCCCUUUUCUCAGGCGGUGGAGUGUCCGCCUGAAAUUGCACGUAUGUGAAAAAAUGAAUUUGACAUAAAAGGGCACCACAACUGCGUGUGAAAAGUAAUUUCGCAGGCAUGUGCAUUAAGACGUUCGGCUGAAAAAGAUUUUUGGCAAAAAGUUAAAUACAAAUUUUGAAAAAAAAGUUUUCCGGAAAGAUAAUAUCAAUGUUAUAGAUAUGGCGUACCUUGUAUACCUAUAUUGGUCACCAUCGAAAAUAUUGUAUACCUAAUGUUAUACUGAAGGAUAUAUCUAAGACAAAAUUACAUGUAAGGAAGGAAUUCUGCUUGUUUAGGGAAGGAUUAUGGAGUCUAACCCGAGAAAGAUAGGUAUUUGUCUGCCCAUACCUUACUUAGGGUUCCCAAGUUUUACUUGCACAAGGGGUAGCCUUUCAAUAUAAACUAGCCACUUAGUCGCACUUGUGCGACUUUGAGCGUUAGCGUACCUACCUAUAUAAUUAGACUUGAGACAUUGAUCCUAACAUUAAUUGAAGGUACCGGUUUUGUAAGUACUUUAAUUUCUUUGUUUUCAAAUAUACUCCAUUAAUUCCUAUAUAUAAGUAUUUCUAGUUUGUUUAGUAAAGAGUAAGAUUAAGGAGGAAUGAUUUCUUUCGAUCACUUACUAUCAAAUUUUGAACUACUCCGAUUGGCUCUUUCGAACACCUGAUUGGCUAAAAAUACUUAGAUAUGCAUUGAAAUUAGUGUCCUAGAAAUGCUUUAUAUUUCUAUAUAAAAUUUGCCAUAAUACUUAUUUUGGGAAUGAUGCAGUAGCAAGAGAUGUAAAUGGAGGAAUGCUGUAAUUGAUUGACAUUAUAAAGUAGAUGAAGAAAUUAAAUAGGAUAUGACUAUGUUGGUUAAGAUGAGAGAGUAGGUGUAGAAAUAGCUAUAUUUUAUGAGAAAUUUUGAAUGUUAAAAGCACCUAUAUUUUAGAACGGAGACAACAAUAACACUAAGUGAUCCUAAGUGUAGUGUGUGCGUUUGUAGGGACUGUUUUAAAAUAAAAUUGGUACACAGUGGAUACUACUUAGUUGCUGUGUGUUGCUCCAAUACCAAGCAAUCAAAAGUAGUAUACAUUAUAGAUAUAAAUUUGCAUAUAAAUUCAAUAUAAAUUUACGGGUAAGGCGUCAUAUUUUUUUUCCUUUAUUUAGCCAGGAGAUUAAUUAAGCAAACAUAUAUAUAGUGUUAAAAAGACUUUUUUUAACGGUAGUGUUAAAUAGACUAAGCACAUGAGUUCUCUGCUUUUUGAGGUCUUUAGUCUAGAAGCAUCCGGAUUGGUCCAACGUGUUUCCACUGUCAUAGAUGAGCAUGAUGAUCCAACGGUGUAUUUUCAUUUACCAGUUCAUCCAACGGUCAAUACAUUGUAGAUGAUGUGGCUUAUCCUCCUUUUAGAAAGCUUGUUGCUUUCAUAUAUUUAGAUACCAAGCCCCCAGAGAGGGGAGGACAUCUAAUUACAACUUGUAAGUCAUAGAUACAAACCACACUGAGAUUACACCACGAGGAAGCCCUACAGAUAGCUAGCCACAUAAUACAACCCACUGCCUUGUUUCUCAUGAUUAAUUUGUUUGCUUCUCCUUUAUACUGAAACUAAAGUAGUGUUAUUACCCUUCUUGAGGGCUCGAACUUAGUAUCAAAAUCAAUGUUACUUGUCUCUUUAUUCCAUACUGGUGCAUAUGUUGGUAUCAGUUGUACGCUACGUUCAUAAAGUACCGUUGUCGGGUAUAUAACAUGUCGAUACCUAACUCCCCGACAAAAUCGGCAAAUUAAUAAAAAUUCGUCGACGAAGCCGCUGCCAUUGGUGCAGUCCGCCAUCAUCCCCGACCCUUCCCGUCGGUAGAUCUAGAGAGAUAGAUGUGCACGUGGCGGCCGUCUCCAUUGCUUUUUGUGCCCUCCUGUGGCCGCUUCUAUCAACCAAUCGAAUCCCGACGCCUUCGCCUCAACCGCUUGAAGCAGCCGUCGCUAGGAAGGGAGAGGGGCAUAGGAAAGACGGAGAGGUCGCCUGAAGAAAGGGAGGCAACAGGAAAGAGGCCGGGAGAAGUGAGAGAAAGACUUAGCCGCCUUUUCUGUGGACAAUGCCUUUUAUAUUUGAUUGUUAUUUUCUCUUCACCGGAAAGGAGGCAACAGGAAUGAGGGAGAAGUGAGAAGGAGACUUAGCUGCUCCUUUUGUGGCCAAUGCCUUUUGUAUUUCAUCGUUAUUUUCUCAUGUGGUAUAAUUUUUAAAGCGAACAUCUUAAAAGCCCACCUAUAAAAAUCAACCUAUCUAUAAAUAUAGGGGCUUGAACGGAGAUCGAUAUAUAUUUUCGCAUGAGGGUGAUUCUCUAUAAAAUGACUUGUGAGUUGUCAGCAACACAAGCGUCAUAGGUUUUCUCCGAGAUUCUAACCAGAGUUUUACUCCAUUAUAUCAGAUUAGCGACAAACGGUAAGUCGUCACCGCGUCAGGGGCUCAGGACAGGGACAUGAUCACAGGAUCACAAAGAGCACAGUAAUAUAGGAUCCAUUCCCUUUGGAUCUCAUCUCACCCAUAAAAAACAUGUUAAUUUGUUCAAAGAUCGCACUUGCCCAAACCUUAAAAUACAGGAGCAGCACUAGCAAGUGGUAGAAGAGUUAUAUUCCGGAGGUCCACUUCGCGACCUGGCGCGGUCUCGCCCCUGCGCCUGCGUCUGCGCGGCGACCUACCCUCCUGGCCGCGCGUGGGCGCGCGCUCCAUAAAAACCAUUCGAUCCUUCACUACCGUCACUGCACAUCCUUGGUUUUCCCAGCAUGGCAUGCCUACCUCCUCGUCUCGUUCUCGCUUCCACCGCGCCAGUGCUAGUGCUACUGCUCUUCGUCCCGCUCUCGCCGUGCCGCGCGGCUUCAGGCAGUAGCCCGAGCGCCGUGCUGCUGCCGGUGGACAAGGACGGCGCAACGCAGCAGUACGUGACGAUGUUCUGGCAGCGGACGCCGAGUGUGCCCGUGAAGGCCGUGGUUGACCUCGCGGGCGCCAUGCUCUGGGUGGACUGCGAGUCCGGGUACGAGUCGUCGUCGUAUGCGCGCGUGCCGUGCGGGUCCAAGCCUUGCCGCCUCGCGAAGAGCGCCGCCUGUGCCACCGGCUGCUCCGGUGCGGCGUCCCCGGGCUGCCUCAACGACACCUGCACCGGGUUCCCGGAGUACACUAUCACGCGCGUCAGCACCGGCGGCAACAUCAUCACAGACAAGCUGUCGCUGUACACCACCUGCCGCCCCAUGCCGGUUCCGCGCGCCACCGCGCCGGGGUUUCUGUUCACCUGCGGUGCAACGUCCCUGACCAAAGGCCUCGGCGCCGCGGCCACGGGCAUGAUGUCCCUUAGCCGCGCCCGCUUCGCGCUCCCCACGCAAGUCGCCUCCAUCUUCCGCUUCUCCCGCAAGUUCGCGCUCUGCCUCGCGCCGGCUGAGUCAUCUGGCGUCGUCGUUUUCGGCGACGCGCCCUACGAGUUCCAGCCCGUCAUGGACCUCUCCAAGUCACUAAUCUACACCCCGCUACUCGUCAAUCCGGUGACCACAACGGGGGGUGUCCACGGCAGGGGACAAGUCGACCGAGUACUUCAUCGGUGUGACGGGCAUCAAGGUGAACGGCCGCGCCGUGCCCCUGAACGCGACGCUGCUGGCCAUCGCCAAGAGCGGAGUGGGCGGCACCAAGCUGAGCAUGUUGUCCCCUUACACCGUGCUGGAGACCUCCAUCUACAAGGCGGUCACCGACGCGUUCGCCGCCGAGACGGCUAUGAUUCCCCGUGUGCCGGCCGUGGCGCCGUUCAAGCUUUGCUACGACGGGACCAUGGUGGGGAGCACCCGCGCGGGGCCGGCCGUGCCGACCGUCGAGCUGGUGCUGCAGAGCAAAGCCGUGUCGUGGGUGGUGUUCGGGGCGAACUCUAUGGUGGCCACCAAGGACGGCGCGCUCUGCUUCGGCGUUGUGGAUGGAGGCGUAGCCCCGGAGACGUCGGUGGUGAUCGGCGGACACAUGAUGGAGGACAACCUGCUGGAGUUCGACCUGGAGGGGUCACGGCUGGGUUUCACCUCCUACCUCCCGUUGCUGCAGACGACCUGCAACAGCUUUCACCUUGGCUAGCUAGCUAGUAUAUAGCAAUGCCGGCAGUUGCCAGGGUAGCUCAUUUGUUUUCUUUUUAAAUAAAUGAUACAAACACAAGCCCAUGUUAAAUUUAAGAUUUGAACCUGGUGGACAGGUUCCACCACAGGAAACCUGAUCAGUUGAGUUAUACUCACUUUGUAUAAAUUCUGCAUUUCUGUAUGUGAUAGUGCGAAGUAUCUCGGUGCUAGCCUUUUGCAAUCUCUGUUGUAAUGAAAAAACAUCAGUAAAUUUGGCGAAAUCAUACAUACUUUUAGGGGAAUUCUUUUAAUCUCUCGGCGGAUGUUAUCAGUUUCUUGUUUCUUGUCUGUCUAAAAAUUAUAUAUAUCCUAAAAAACUAUAAGAUAAAUUAAUACCCAAAUUAAUAUGUGAUAUACUAUUUCACAAACAUGCACGUUUAAAUUUGACUUCUACAAGUUAAAAAAAAUAACUAUAAGCACACGCAUACUAUUUAGAGUUAAAUUUGUUAUAACCUAUGGAGAUCAAAAUUGAACUUAAACUUACAUAUUUCUGAAGUAAUAUAUUGCAUAUUAUUUUAUCUUGCUAUUUUUUAAUUCUUUAUAAUUAUUUAAAUGACAUGCAAAAACGAUGAGGCAUCCCCUUAAGAGAUUAGAAUCCAUUUCACACUUGACAUCUUUAAUUUUUACCAAGUACACCCUCUGUCUUUGAAAAAACUAAUUUUCAAGAAUGAAUGGAUGGAUGCUUAUUCAGAUUCGGUCAUAGAAUUUUUUUUCGGAGGGAGCAAAUAUGUUUUAUCUAAAUUAUCACACUACUACAAAUUCAUGAUUUUAUAUCUCAUAGAACUAUGAAAUUUAAGCUAAGUCGUCGUUCAUAAAACUAGAAGUUUAGACUCCACCAGUACGUGCAACGCCAUGUCGCCGACGAAUAGAGUCUCGCACUCUCGCUAGUCUGAAGAAAAUGAUAGGUUUUGACGAGAAAAACUACAUGUUUGACAUGUAUAACUCACUUGUCUUGUAGCGGUUCAUGUGAAGGUGGAGCUCUAAAACUAUAGUUAUGCAAUAACUUGAGUGUAAAAUUUGUGUUUCUCCUGUAGAAAACAUCGAAUGCUAGUUUAGCAAAGUUUAUACGGUGUUACGAAAAUUACUCAUUUUUUCAUGUUGACUUGGAUGUUGUACCUCACACUAUAGCGGUAGCAUGUCCUCGUAACACUGCACACUCCACCGGGAUAAAUGCUACUCCUAUCAGGGCCCCUCCAUUACUACAGAAAUUAAAGCACUUUGGUGCUUGUUGGAAACCCUCUUAGAUGCUGGUUAUAGAACCGGCAUCUACAUUGGUAAGAUGUCGGUUUUUACGUUUUAGAACCGACACCUUUAAGGUUUUACGAAUAAAAAAAAGCCGACUCGGCUGAUGCAUCGAGCCGAGUAGAUCCCUUUCACCCCGACCAAUCAAGAACACACCCGAUUCACAUGAACAAGAACAAUAACACAAUCUCAAUUCCUUCAACUCGAUUCUUUUGCAUGAACAACAACAAGAACACAUGAGAAACAAGAACAUAAAUCCGAUUCUUCUGCCGCCGCCGUCUCCUCCACUCUCGCAACCGCCUGCCUCUGCCGCCGCCGCCUUCCCUCUCACCACCGCCUGCCUCUGCCGUCCCCGUCCCCCCUCCUGUCGGGCCGCCGCUCCCGGUAGGAUCUGGCGGAGGGCGCUGUUGCCUCCCGCUGCGGCACCUCGUGUUGGGCCGACGCCUCCCCUCCCCGGCGGAUCUGGCAGAGGGGAGGCGCCGUGGCCAUCUCCACCGCCAGGACGCCGCCGCCGCCGCUCGAUGGGGUGGGUGCAUGAGAGAGCCGAGGGGAGGGAAGAGAAGGAAGAAGAGAGAGAGAGAGGUGGGUAAGAGAAGGAUGGAUGGAUAAGAACGGACGCCUCCCUUCCCCGUGCGGCUCAGUUUUAUGGGGUGUCAGUUGUUUAAAAACUGGCAUCUAUAAUAUAUUAUAAGUGUUGAUUUUUUUAAAAAAGCUGACACUUAUUCCUUUUGCCACAAAGAUGAUGGUUCUUGGGUGGGCCUAGCGCCAACUAAAAGAUGUUAGAUUUAAAUUAAAACCGGCAUCUAUUUCUGACAGGGGUAAAAGGUGUCGGUUUUUUAAAAAAACUGGCACCUAUUAGGAGAUAAAGAUGCCGGUUCUUGGUAUUUUGGUGGGCUGAUGGGCGUGUGGGUAGGAAAGGCACUAUAUUUGUUGGUUUUAUCACUUCCGUCACUAUAUGUUUUGUAGUAGUGCUCUACUGUUGGUUUGACUAGUGCAGUCCAUGCAAGCGAAUUGAACAAAAUAUCUGUUCGAUCGCUGUGAAAAUUGAUUCGUGGGAUGAAAAUCUCAAUCUCACCUGCGUCCGCCCUACCCACUCGUGUGACCCUAUGAUAGGAAAUGUUUUUGCUCAUUGGAAGUCGCUUUUUUCACUAAGAGAGCCAGCUAAAUACUGAGGUGGAGGAGAGAAGAGAGGAGAGAGGAGAAGCGGACUGUAAACUUAUAGCCGGCUUGUACACAAGAACUAAGAAACUCUGUGAGAGAGACAAGUGGACCAUUUAUUAAUUGUAAAGAGCUAACUAUUUAUACGGGUAGACUGAGAGAAGACUACAAAGAAUAUUAUAGCCAAUAGGUCGGUUGCAUUAUUAGCCUUGCUCUAAGAGUAGGUACAAUAGCGAGCUAUAAACCAGCUAUAAACAUAUUUUAAAGAGAUAAAAGAAAGAGAGAGAAGAGCAGCGGGUUACAGAUCUGUAGCCAGCUGCAGCAUGGACUCCAAGAUGUAAUAUGUGUAUGACAGGUGAGAUCAGGUAUUAAUAGUAUAGUAAGCAACUAUUGUAUUAAUUGGCUAUUAUAAUAUUGACUAUAGAUGAUUUAGAGUUAGUAGAUAGCUAUUCUAUUAAACUUGCUCUAACACACAAGUCGACUCUCAGUUUGCUCGGUCCGAUCCUUUUGUGCGCACGGUUCAAUUUUAGCCUAACAUUGGAGCUACUCUCACGCUGUCACGCACAAAAGCCUCUCCAAUACUAGUAAGCUUGAUUUUCUUGUUCCUCCCGUAGUCUGUCUCUUCACGCCCACUGGUAAAAUUUCUAUGGAUGAGGUAAUUCCCAAUUCAAAAAAUAGCUAUUCCUACUCAGCAGCGAGGGUUUUAGGUUGGAGACGGCGACAAAUGGUGCCCUAGCUAUCAUGGCAGGAAGCAAGCCCUGGAGGACAGAUCACAGUAAUGCAUGCUUUGCUUUGGAUGAGUCAGAUCUCACACACCCAAAAAUGGCAAAUCCUGCUACGGCUACUUUGUAGCCUUGUACACGGUUCGUGACAAAAUCAACGAUGACGAAGCCGUGGAGAUGGUAAGUAACAGGCAAAGCUCUCGUUUCAUUCUUUACAUAUCGUCCCAAAGUUAUGAUUUUCUUAAAAAGAACAAUAAAAUAAUAAGAUAGAUUAGUAUACAAUAUAUCACUUCACAAAAUUCUAGUUUAAUAUUAACUUCUACAAGUUGAAAAAAAAUAAAUAUGACUUUGAGCAUAUGUGUACAAGUUACAGUUAAAUCUAUUACUUUUGUUACAACUUGCGGCUAUCAAAUAUAAAUUUGCAUGUUUCUGGAGUUAUAUAUCACAUAUUAAUCUAUCUCGUCUUUUUUCUCUUUAAAUUUUUUUAUUACUCCCUCCGUCCUAAAAAAUAAGCAUUUUUAGCAUAGUAACGAGUCAAACAUUUUUAACUUUAACUAUUAAUAGCAAAGAAAUAAAAAAUAUAAUCAUGUAAAAUUGAUGUUACUAGAUUUAUCAUUAAACAAACUAACAUAAUAUGCAACUAUUUUUAUUUAAAACAUCUUACUUUUAUAGAUAUUGUUUGUCAAAGUAGCAUCUCGGAGACUGUAUCAGGAUCAAAAAAUACUUAUAUUUUAGGAUGGAGGGGUACUAUUUAAGUAAUAUAUCUCAAGGGGAUAUUAAAAUCCAUUUUUCCUAACUAACAUUGGUUAAACUGGCCCAACAAAGAGGUAGUAGGUCUGGACUUUGAUCCUAACCACGUUAAGGCCUUGUUUAGGGCCCCUUUGAUUUGGAGAAAAAAAUAUAGAAAUUUUGGAGGAUUUUAAUCCUAUAGGAAAAUUUUGUAUGAAGCCCUUUGAAACAUAUGAUUGAAUCCUAUCUAAUGCUUUGAAAUUCCUAUGAAAUUGACAAUCCUAUAGAAAUUAUGGAGGAAAUUUAGCAAGAGGUUCAACCUGAACCUCUUGGUAACUUUCCUUUGAGUCUCUCUCAUCCAAUUCCUAUGUUUUUAUUACGGUUCAAUCAAAUGGUUAUUUCUGUAUUUUUUCCUGUAUUUUGCAAUCAUCUGUUUUACACUUAGGGCCCAUUUGAAUCACAGGAAUGAAAAAAAUGGAAGAAUAGAAAAAACAUAGGAUUCUGACAGGAAUUCUAGUGUAAAACAGAGGAUUGCAAAAUACAAGAAAAAUAUAGGAAUGAAUGUUUGAUUGGGCCGCAGGAAAAUCACAUAAAUUUGAGGAGAGAUAAAGACUCAAAGUAUUCUUUCCAUGAGGUUCUACCUUUGAAUCAUAGGAACGAAAAAACAAAGGAAUAGGAAAAACAUAGGAUUCUGAACAUGAGAGAGAUAGACUCAGAGGAAAUUUUCCAAGAGGUUAGACCUCUUGCUAACUUUCCUCCAAAAUAUACAUAGGAUUACCCAUUCCAUAGGAAUUUUAAAGGAUUGGAUAGGAUUCAAUCCUUUGUUUCAAAGACCUUCAUAGGAUUUUUUUUUCCAUCGGAUUGAAAUCCUCCAAAAUUUCUAUAUUUUUCCUACAAAUCAAAGGGCCCUAAUUUCCUAAAAAAACUUGCAUGGGAAGAGGCAUUCCAUAGGAAUUUCAUAGGAUUCCAUAGAAUCCAUUCCUUUGAUUCAAAGGGCCAUAUAGGAAAAAUUCCUAUAAGAAUAAAAUCCUCUAAAAUUCCUGUAAAUUUCCUUUGAAUCAAAGGGCCCAUAUAUUCCUAUCAAAAUCCUAUGUUUUUUCAUAUUCCUACGUUUUCUCGAUCCUGCGAUUAAAAGGAACCCUUAUUUCCUCCAAAAUGGCAAAAGUUUUGCUGUUUUAGGGCACUUUUUGCCAAAAUAGAUCUCAACACUAGUAGCAAAAGUUUGUAAUUUGGCAUUUGUCAUUUGGAAGUCUAGAGUAACAAAUUUUGGUAAAAAGUGUGUUGGAAGCCGUGCUCUCUCUCUCUCUGCCUUUACUAGUAAAAUGGCAAAACUUUACCAUGCAUGUAAACACCAACUAGCAAAACUUCAAUGCCAAAUCUUUUACCACCAAAACUUUUUUAAAAAAAAUUAUCAGACCAAAUUAAUCUAAACAGGCCAUAAGAAAAUGUACUCCGUACAUGUAGUACAGAUGAUCUAGGCGUGCGUGCAUGCAUGCGUGGCCCGCCAUGGACGCGUCCAAAGAUCGCACAUCUCCAGACCGUCAAAUACAGCUAGCUAGUACCAGAACAGCAGAGUUCCCUGUCCACUUCGUUGUCUCGCCCCGCGGUGGGCAGGUUGCGCGCCACUACGUACUGCCCAACCCUCGCCGCGGUAUCGUAACUCGUAAUAAGAGGUUGAGACUUGAGACGGGGAGACCCAAAUCGCUCGUGUUGCGCCUAUAAAUGUCGUUGAUUGCCGCAUCAUUACUUCACAAGUUCACAUCUCCAUCCCCAUCGAGUUCUUCGUUUUCUGACUCUUGUCAGCAUGGCACGCUUGCCUCCUCUUGCUGUGGCUUCCGGCGCUCUCCUCCUGCUGUUCGUCUCGGUCUCGCCGUGCCGCGCGGCGGCAGGCGGCGGGCCGAGCUCCGUGGUGCUGCCGGUGAGCAAGGACGACGCGACGCAGCAGUACGUGACGAUGUUCCGGCAGCGGACGCCGCAGGUGCCCGUGAAGGCCGUGCUGGACCUCGCGGGCACCAUGCUCUGGGUGGACUGCGACGCCGGGUACGUGUCCUCGUCGUACGCCGGCGUGCGGUGCGGUGCCAAGCCCUGCCGCCUCCUGAAGAACGCCGGCUGCGCCAUCACCUGCCUCGACGCGGUAUCCGCAGGCUGCCUCAACGACACCUGCAGCGAGUUCCCGAAGAACACCGCCACGAGCGUCAGCACCGCCGGCAACAUCAUCACCGACGUGCUGUCGCUGCCCACCACCUUCCGCCCCGCGCCGGGGCCGCUCGCCACCGCGCCGGCGUUCUUGUUCACCUGCGGCCACACGUUCUUGACCCAAGGACUCGCCGACGGCGCCACCGGCAUGGUGUCCCUCAGCCGCGCCCGCUUCGCGCUCCCAACGCAGCUCGCCGACACCUUCGGCUUCUCCCGCAAGUUCGCGCUCUGCCUCCCCCCGGCCUCCGCGGCCGGCGUCGUCGUCUUCGGCGACGCGCCCUACACGUUCCAGCCAGGGGUGGACCUCUCCAAGUCUCUCAUCUACACCCCGCUGCUCGUCAACCCGGUGAGCACGGCGCCGUACGGCAGGAAGGACAAGACGACCAAGUACUUCAUCGGCGAGACGACCAUCCAACUGAAAGGCCGCGUCUGGAGAGAAAAGUCAACCGAUUACUUCAUCGGCUUGACGGGCAUCAAGGUUAACGGCCACACCGUGCCGGUAAACGCGACGCUGCUGGCCAUCGACAAGAAAGGAGUGGGCGGCACCAAGCUAAGCACGGUGUCCCCCUACACCGUGCUGGAGAGAUCCAUCCACCAGGCGGUGACCGACGCGUUCGCGAAGGAGAUGGCCGCGAUCCCGCGAGCACCGGCAGUGGAGCCGUUCAAGCUGUGCUACGACGGGAGGAAGGUGGGGAGCACGCGCGUGGGGCCGGCCGUGCCGACCAUCGAGCUGGUGCUGCAAAGCACGGGUGCCUCGUGGGUUGUGUUCGGGGCGAACUCGAUGGUGGCCACCAAGGGAGGCGCGCUCUGCCUCGGCGUGGUGGACGCCGGCACGGAGCCGCAGACGUCGGUUGUGAUCGGUGGGCACAUGAUGGAGGACAACCUGCUGGAGUUUGACCUGGAGGCAUCGCGGCUGGGGUUCAGUUCAUACCUCCCGUCUCGGCAGACGACCUGCAAUAAUUUUCGCCUCGGCUAGCAUGUAGCAGUGCUGGCAUUUGCCCCGUUCCCAAGUAUGCAUGGCCAUACCUACAAAUUUUGGGUCCCCCG
rnacentral:lncRNA from 1 species